UCGCGUCUACGCAUUUCCGGUCAUGCGUAGAUGCGACUUUGAAGCUGGCGGCGGCCAUUUUUUGUGCCCAUAGAAGGGCAAAUCAGAAAAAAAAUGGCCCGCCGGCAGGAGAAAAUAACGGAGAAAAGCAGGAGAUGAAGUGAUACGGGGGACCACCGGGAAAAGGUAAGUAAAAACGGGUGGUUUCCCGGGGAAAACGGGUACUUGGCAGCUAUGUGUUAAGCUAGAUGGGCCAUUGGCUUGAUCCAGCAGGGCUCUUACGUUUUUAUCCUAAUCCGCUUUCAGGAAGGUCUACCUCCUCCAUGCUGUUGCUGAACGGAUCUCAUUCACUGUAAAUAUAUAGCAUUGUAUCCAAUGUUUGUCAUUCUUAAGAGCAGAGUCACUGAAAUUAAUGCACAUAACUUAGGUUCAUUAAUUCCAGUGGAACUAGUCUGAAUACAACCCAUUACACGGUACUGUCCUACUGGGAGUAGGACAUAAAGGUUUUUUGGUAAUCCUCUUAAGGGCUGUGAGUCUAUUGCAAUACUUACCUCAGGACUCUUUGUGACGCGCGCGCCGAGAGAAAAGGAGAUGAGAGAAAGAGCUGUAUUUUGUGAAGGGGGAGCCAUGGUGAAUCGUUUUCAGAGAGAUGUGUGUGUCAAAACAAAAAUAAAAAAAUUCCUUCCAGUAGCACCUUGGAGACCAACUAAGUUUGUCAUUGGUAUGAGCUUUUGUGUGCAUGCACACUUCUUCAGAUGCCUGAAGAAACACACGAAAGCUCAUACCAAUGACAAACUUAGUUGGUCUCCAAGGUGCUCCUGGAAGGAAUUUUUUUAUUUUGUUUUGACUACAGCAGACCAACACGGCUACCUACCUGUAACUAGAUAUAUGUGUGUAUUUGUGGUUUUUUACAUGUGCUGGUUUCAAUUGCUGUGUGGUUUGGUACUAUGGAAUGGAAACAAAGAGCGUUUUUGUGUGUCAACUCUUUUGUCUUUUUUGCCUUCAAGAAUGUCUUCAAAAUAUAUUUUGCUAGAAUACUUUCUUUCCCUCCCCGUUUCCUUGUGCCCAUUAGGAUGUUUGUCUGUGCUUUAAGAACUUUGGCAAGCAGCCACUCCGAGGUCCAACACAUUGUAGGCAGUUUGCCAAGACCAAAUGCAGCCGGAAAUUCUGGGAACUGCAGCUAUGUGGAAAACCACCUCUCAGCACCCUGAACAAACUACAGAUCCCAGGAUUCUUCAGGGGAAGCCACGGCUGUUUAAAGUGGUAUAAUGCUGCAGACCUCACCUUUAAGACAGAAGCUUUUGGGUUGUUGUUAUUAGACCACUGGGAGUCAGAAACCCUUGCUGAUCUGUUGGGGCUAACCCAGAGAUUUCCUAGGAGAGCCUGUUCUACCUUCUGCCUAUCACUGAAUUAAGCAACCCCUUAAACACAGCUGGGAAGUUGAGGCCACCUUGGCCGUUCUUGGUCCUAUCCUCAUUGCUGCUAAUGUUCCAUGCUGCCUGUAGAUUAUGUGAGUUGAGAGUGCAGUAAUAAGAGGAAUUGGCUCAGUCAUAAGAUGAGUACCUUAGAAACAUUGCAACACAAAGCAAGGGAAAGUGGGCAGCUAGCUGAUGAAGGAUGUCUGUGCCAUUUGCCCCCUGACACCUUUUUAAAAUAUACCGGUACUUUUUGAAUCUAUAAAUAUACCUUUAUUUUUUUAAAGAAAAAAAUCAUGACAGCUCCUUCUCAACACUCAUACUAUCUGUAGAAUUGUGCUAAAAUGUACAUUAGGUUUUAGACCAGGCAUCCCCAAACUUCGGCCCUCCAGUUGGUUUGGGCUACAAUUCCUAUCUUCCCCGACCACUGGUCCUGUUAGCUAGGGAUCAUGGGAGUUGUAGGCCAAAACAUCUGGAGGGCCGCAGUUUGGGGAUGCCUGGUGUAGGGUAUGUGUGUUUUGCAUUGAAGCCAUUACCACAAACAAAAUCACUGUGAAGCUAUGCUAGUUGUAUCUUUUUUCAACAUUCCUUUAAAAUAAAAUAAUAAAAUAAAACAAGCACUUCUCCGGUAAGGAAAAAUAUGUUGCAAAUGGGUGUUUCUGUUUUUCUUGCUCAAUAAAUUAUUUUUGUCUGCUGG